rnacentral:rRNA from 1 species
GUACACUCCUGCGGGAGGCAGCAGUGGGGAAUUUUGGACAAUGGGCGAAAGCCUGAUCCAGCCAUGCCGCGUGCAGGAUGAAGGCCUUCGGGUUGUAAACUGCUUUUGUACGGAACGAAACGGCCUUUUCUAAUAAAGAGGGCUAAUGACGGUACCGUAAGAAUAAGCACCGGCUAACUACGUGCCAGCAGCCGCGGUAAUACGUAGGGUGCAAGCGUUAAUCGGAAUUACUGGGCGUAAAGCGUGCGCAGGCGGUUAUGUAAGACAGUUGUGAAAUCCCCGGGCUCAACCUGGGAACUGCAUCUGUGACUGCAUAGCUAGAGUACGGUAGAGGGGGAUGGAAUUCCGCGUGUAGCAGUGAAAUGCGUAGAUAUGCGGAGGAACACCGAUGGCGAAGGCAAUCCCCUGGACCUGUACUGACGCUCAUGCACGAAAGCGUGGGGAGCAAACAGGAUUAGAUACCCUUGUAGUCCC